GUUUGUUGUACAUGUAGAGCAGUGGAAUUUACAGAAACUUGCAAAGCGUUGAACUAACACCCAUAAACACCAGGUAGAGUCCAGGACUUCCGUAUGCGAGUCUUGGAUUGAAAUGGAAACCCUCUCCCUAACGAUCUUCCUUGGCCAGCCUGCCCCAGUCUGCAGGUUUUGCAGCCAAAUCCUCAACUUCAGCUUCAAAUUCUGGUUCAUCAUCAGAGAUAACUUCUUCACUGGGAUUGCCACCAAUUGUAUCAUCAUUCAGCAACUCCUCUAAAAUAGUCUCAUUCACGGAACCCAAAUUGUCCACGCU
rnacentral:misc_RNA from 1 species